rnacentral:lncRNA from 1 species
GCUUUUAAACAUCUUGAAUAUAUCUAUGUACUAUAUACAUUAAAAAUCAAAAUCCACAUGAACAUCUCACAGUGUAACCACCUUCUUGAAAAUUUGCUUUGGCUGUUCAUAAUGGAAAUGGAAAAAUGGAAGAACAGUUGAAGUCACUUUUAGCAGGAAAGUGUUCACACCAACAAACUCUAGGAGCAAGGAGGAUGAGGCAUUGAACUUUAGGCAACCAGAUUAGUUGAAGAGAAAAUACGUCUUGCCUUCUGUACCAACUCUUCAAUUACGAGUGCAGGAACCAGUUUCAUCCUUCUGCUCUGAGCUGCAUUAAACCAAAGGCUUGGGUGUACCUCAACUUAUCAAGGAGCAUGAGAUACAGAGGAAAAUAAGAAGUAACACAAUUAAAUAUACAGACAUUUUAAAAGAUACAGUACUAAUGCAGUUAAUUUGCAUAUGUUAAGUAAUUAUCUUGUUACUGGUAGCAUAUAAUUUCAAGUUGCUGCACAAGCUUAUUGAAGACACAAUAUCUAAAUUAGAGUUUGUAAUUAUCUGUGAAUUUCAUCCAGAACGUGUUAUUAACCAUUUCAGACUAUAAGGAAUAUCGGCAAUGGAGAGAGACGGUGACAACUGAGUGGUGAUCAAAAUCCAAUUUUACUGUGGGCUUCAUGAGCUUAUAUACCAUGCUAGGAAGGUUAGUAAUUUUUUACUAGAAUUAUUGGGUUAAACAUCAUG